GGCAACAUGACCGAGUGGUUAAGGUGUUAGAUUCGAACUUGUGGUCUUAUCUCAUCUGCUUCGCAGGCGCAGGUUCGAAUCCUGCUGUUGUCG